rnacentral:rRNA from 1 species
CAGUUAUCGUUUAUUUGAUAGUACCUUACUACUUGGAUAACCGUGGUAAUUCUAGAGCUAAUACAUGCUAAAAACCCCGACUUCGGGAGGGGUGUAUUUAUUAGAUAAAAAACCAAUGCCCUUCGGGGCUCCUUGGUGAAUCAUAAUAACUUAACGGAUCGCAUGGCCUUGCGCCGGCGACGGUUCAUUCAAAUUUCUGCCCUAUCAACUUUCGAUUGUAGGGUAUUGGCCUACAAUGGUAUCAACGGGUAACGGGGAAUUAGGGUUCGAUUCCGGAGAGGGAGCCUGAGAAACGGCUACCACAUCCAAGGAAGGCAGCAGGCGCGCAAAUUACCCAAUCCCGACACGGGGAGGUAGUGACAAUAAAUACUGAUACAGGGCUCUUUUGGGUCUUGUAAUUGGAAUGAGUACAAUUUAAAUCCCUUAACGAGGAACAAUUGGAGGGCAAGUCUGGUGCCAGCAGCCGCGGUAAUUCCAGCUCCAAUAGCGUAUAUUAAAGUUGUUGCAGUUAAAAAGCUCGUAGUUGAACCUUGGGUCUGGCUGGCCGGUCCGCCUCACCGCGUGCACUGGUCCGGCCGGACCUUUCCUUCUGGAGAACCGCAUGCCCUUCACUGGGUGUGCCGGGGAACCAGGACUUUUACUUUGAAAAAAUUAGAGUGUUCAAAGCAGGCCUUUGCUCGAAUACAUUAGCAUGGAAUAAUAGAAUAGGACGUGCGGUCCUAUUUUGUUGGUUUCUAGGACCGCCGUAAUGAUUAAUAGGGAUAGUCGGGGGCAUCAGUAUUCAAUUGUCAGAGGUGAAAUUCUUAGAUUUAUUGAAGACUAACUACUGCGAAAGCAUUUGCCAAGGAUGUUUUCAUUAAUCAGUGAACGAAAGUUAGGGGAUCGAAGACGAUCAGAUACCGUCGUAGUCUUAACCGUAAACUAUGCCGACUAGGGAUCGGGCGAUGUUAUUC